rnacentral:rRNA from 1 species
GAUCAACGCUGGCGGCGUGCUUAACACAUGCAAGUCGAACGAAGUUUUUCCUUCGGGAGAAACUUAGUGGCGGACGGGUGAGUAACGCGUGGGUAACCUGCCCUGUACAGGGGGACAACAGCUGUAAACGGCUGCUAAUACCGCAUAAGCCCUUAGCACUGCAUGGUGCAUAGGGAAAAGGAGCAAUCCGGUACAGGAUGGACCCGCGUCUGAUUAGCCAGUUGGCAGGGUAACGGCCUACCAAAGCGACGAUCAGUAGCCGAUCUGAGAGGAUGUACGGCCACAUUGGGACUGAGACACGGCCCAGACUCCUACGGGAGGCAGCAGUGGGGAAUAUUGCACAAUGGAGGAAACUCUGAUGCAGCGACGCCGCGUGAGUGAAGAAGUAUUUCGGUAUGUAAAGCUCUAUCAGCAGGGAAGAAAAUGACGGUACCUGACUAAGAAGCACCGGCUAAAUACGCG